UACGGGGGGGGCAAGCGUUGUUCGGAAUUACUGGGCGUAAAGGGCGCGUAGGCGGCUUGGCAAGUGGAAGGUGAAAUCCCUCGGCUUAACCGAGGAACUGCCCUCCAAACUGCUUUGCUUGAGGCCGGGAGAGGUGAGUGGAAUUCCCAGUGUAGCGGUGAAAUGCGCAGAUAUCAGGAGGAACACCGAUGGCGAAGGCAGGUCUCUGGGCCACUACUGACGCUGAGAAGCGAAAGCAUGGGGAGCGAACAGG
rnacentral:rRNA from 1 species